GAACGAACGGAGAGGUGGGAUGACUCAAGUCCUCAUGGCCCUUAUGGGUAGGGCUUCACACGUCAUACAAUGGUCGGUACAGAGGGUUUGCCAAGCCGCGAGGCGGAGCCAAUCCCACAAAGCCGAUCGUAGUCCGGAUUGUUCUCUGCAACUCGAGAGCAUGAAGUCGGAAUCGCUAGUAAUCGCAGGUCAGCAUACUGCGGUGAAUACGUUCCCGGGUCUU
rnacentral:rRNA from 1 species